rnacentral:sRNA from 1 species
AUGAAUCCAUGAAACAUGAUAGUGCAAAAUACACACUUAUCAACUCCCCCAAACUUAGUCUUUGCUUGCCCUCAAGCAAACAAUCAAGAACAAGCUGGAGGUGAGGUUUGGAAGCGGGGACUCAGAGCCAAAGCACCAGAUAGACCAAAUGAAAUCAAUGUCCAAGUUGAAAGUUCUAAGCUGCAAGAUCAAAUUCUACUUAAAAAUGUUAGCCAUGCCUCAUCAAUCAAUCAAUCCGACUCAUAUGCUCGACCUACACAAGUUUUCAAAUCUACCAAUCCCUUUAACAUUCAUUAGUUCUAGAACGUGAAUCAA